UAGAAUGUACACACUAACGAACAAAUUAAACAACUAGCAAGUAAAGUAGAUGCCCUGGCUACCCAUAACAAAAUGCUGGAAACACAAAUCUCGCAAGUAGCUCAACAACAAGCGCCUACUGCUGCCCCAACAAGUAAAGUAGAUGCCCUGGCUACCCAUAACAAAAUGCUGGAAACACAAAUCUCGCAAGUAGCUCAACAACAAGCGCCUACUGCUGCCCCAACUGGUACAUUUCCUGGACAGCCCCA
rnacentral:lncRNA from 1 species